UACGGGGGGUGCGAGCGUUGUCCGGAAUCACUGGGCGUAAAGGGCGCGUAGGUGGUCUGAUAAGGGUGUGGUGAAAGCCCGGGGCUCAACCCCGGAUCUGCCGUGCCGACUGUCAAACUCGAGGGCUGUAGAGGCAGACGGAAUUCCGGGUGUAGCGGUGGAAUGCGUAGAGAUCCGGAGGAAGACCGGUGGCGAAGGCGGUCUGCUGGGCAGUUUCUGACACUGAUGCGCGACAGCGUGGGGAGCAAACAGG
rnacentral:rRNA from 1 species